rnacentral:misc_RNA from 1 species
GAUGAAGAACGCAGCGAAAUGCGAUAAGUAAUGUGAAUUGCAGAAUUCAGUGAAUCAUCGAAUCUUUGAACGCACAUUGCGCCCGCCAGUAUUCUGGCGGGCAUGCCUGUUCGAGCGUCAUUUCCACCAUCAGGCCCCCGGGCCUGUGUUGGGGACCUGCGGCUGCCCGCAGGCCCCGAAAUUCAGUGGCGGUCGCGCCGUAGCAACCGAGCGUAGUAACUAAAACGUCUCGCUCUGGCUCGCUGGGCGCGCUCCGGCCGUAAAACACCCCCCCUUUUCGCAAAGGUUGACCUCGGAUAAGGUAGGAAUACCCGCUGAACUUAAGCAUAUCAAUAAGCGGAGGA